AGGUACUGCUCUGUGAAAAAUUGAGACAUGCAUUUGCUUUUUUUGCUGAUAGCCAGUGAGAAGAUAUAGGCCUUGAGGUAGAGAUAAGGAAGAAAAGAAAACUCCUUUGCUCAGUGGAAAAAUGGAAGGGGAAAGGGGAAAAUGACGUGAUUUAAAAAUACAUCUAAAGACAGAAUAUACCAGAAUCCAGUGCCCACUGCUGCGCCCUCCACAUCUUCACGCAGCCCCUGACCUGUAAAGAAGUCUAACAAAUUGGCUUCUAUUGUGGAGCCAAAAGGUGCCAUCAAAGAAGGGACGGUUCGCUGGUCCUAAAGUAUGAUGGGAAAUCUCAGGCUGGAAUAAAGAGCUGCCGUUUUAUGAAGUUAACCCAUUAAGGUUAAAAGCAAGCAAGAAGCCGUGGCCGGUGGGGCAGCAGCACCAGAAAGAGCCUUCUUGUUCAAACACAGGAAAGGCAGCACGAGGUGAAGCAAGGGCCACACAAAGAACUGUUUUUAAAAAGACCUCGAGGGAUCUCUUCUGCUUGAAGAUACACAUUCAGCUCCUUCUUCCUUUCUCCAAAGUACCCACAGAAAAAAAAGUAAAUGAAGCUAGCAGCGGAAACAUCUUUGUACCCUUCGUUUCUCCACAAGGUUGUUGAGAUGAGAAAAGACAGUUGGAGCAGUAUUUCAACACAAAUGAAACUUCCCGUUUGCAAACUUUUAAAUCACUUAA